rnacentral:rRNA from 1 species
CACUAGUGAUUGUUGAUCUGGCUCAGAAUGAACGUUGGGCGGGCGUGCCUAACACAUGCAAGUCGAGCGAGAAAGUCCUUUCGGGAUGAGUACAGCGGCGAACGGGUGAGUAAUAUAUAAGAAUCUGCCUUUUAGUGAAGAAUACCUUUGGGAAACCAAAGUUAAUGCUGCAUAAGUCCCUUCGGGGAGAAAGAUGGCCUCUUUGCUGUCGCUAAAAGAUGAGCUUAUAUUCUAUUAGUUAGUUGGUGGGGUAAAGGCCUACCAAGACUAUGAUGGAUAACCGGCCUGAGAGGGUGUACGGUCACAUUGGAACUUAGAUACGGUCCAGACUCCUACGGGAGGCAGCAGUGAGGAAUAUUGCACAAUGGGCGAAAGCCUGAUGCAGCGACGCCGCGUGGAGGAUGAAGGUUUUCGGAUUGUAAACUCCUGUUAAGUGGGAAAAAAGACCUGCCAUGAAUAAGGGCGGGUGAUGAUGGUACCGCUAAAGAAAGCACCGGCUAACUUCGUGCCAGCAGCCGCGGUAAUACGAGGGGUGCAAACGUUAUUCGGAAUUAUUGGGCGUAAAGGGUGCGUAGACGGCGCUUCAAGUCAAUUAUUAAAUCUUUUGGCCUAACCAAAAGCUUGUGGUUGAGACUGUUGUGCUAGAGGAUGGAAGAGAGAAGUGGAAUUCUCGGAGUAGCGGUAAAAUGCGUAGAUCUCGAGAGGAACACCGAUGGCGAAGGCAGCUUCUUGGUCCAUUUCUGACGUUGAAGUACGAAAGCGUGGUGAGCAAACAGGAUUAGAUACCCUGGUAGUCCACGCUGUAAACGAUGAUCACUAGAUGUCAGGUCCGAUUUUGGAUUUGGUGUCGCAGCUAACGCGUAAGUGAUCCGCCUGG